AUGGCUUGGUGGAGGAUGUGCAUUCCCAAGAGGGAUGGAGGUAUGGGGUUCCAUGAUCUACAUUCUUUUAAUGUAGCAAUGCUAGCAAAACAGUCAUGGAGACUUAUCUCUACUCCUGAUUCCCUUUGUGCACAAGUAUUGAAAUCUAAAUAUUUCCCAAACUGUUUAUUACUCAAAGUUGGCCCGAAGAAGGAUUCCACCUUUACCUGGCAAAGCAUUGUGGCUGGUCUGAACACUUUCUGA
rnacentral:rRNA from 1 species